rnacentral:rRNA from 1 species
UGGGGAAUAUUGCACAAUGGGCGCAAGCCUGAUGCAGCCAUGCCGCGUGUGUGAAGAAGGCCUUCGGGUUGUAAAGCACUUUCAGCGGGGAGGAAGGCGGUGAGGUUAAUAACCUCAUCGAUUGACGUUACCCGCAGAAGAAGCACCGGCUAACUCCGUGCCAGCAGCCGCGGUAAUACGGAGGGUGCAAGCGUUAAUCGGAAUUACUGGGCGUAAAGCGCACGCAGGCGGUCUGUCAAGUCGGAUGUGAAAUCCUCGGGCUCAACCUGGGAACUGCAUCUGAUACUGGCAAGCUUGAGUCUCGUAGAGGGGGGUAGAAUUCCAGGUGUAGCGGUGAAAUGCGUAGAGAUCUGGAGGAAUACCGGUGGCGAAGGCGGCCCCCUGGACGAAGACUGACGCUCAGGUGCAAAAGCGUGGGGAGCAAACAGG